rnacentral:sRNA from 1 species
AUUCCCCAAGCCCUCUGUCCGUCUCCUCUGGUAGGUUCCACAAUGGUACAGGCAGCAUCACGCUGCACAAUGGUUUCCAGGCAGUGAAAGAGGGUGAUUCAGCAAGCCACUCUUCUUCUAUUUUCUUUAACCUCCCCUUCACUUUUUAUUUUUAUGGGGGUGGGUGGUGCUUGCUAUAUGCUUACCUUUUUCUUUUCUUUUUUCAUUUUUACAAAUUUCCUUUUUUGUCCUCACCCCUCAAUUCCUAGGGGCUUGAGUGAGUUUAAGAUUGGGUUUUCUUGGAAAUCACCUGUCCAUCGUUAAUUUUAAACAAUCUCCAUAUCUCCAAAGAAUCUCUUCCAUGUUAGUCUGGAAUGUGGUUAAUGAAAAACAAGUAGGGAGGAUUUCUGGGGCAAACACUGCCGGAUCAGGAUCGUAGUUCUCAGGCACGGAAUGGCUAGUGUGAGAAACACCAACGGCAGGCCCAUCUCAGAUCUUCACUAUGGCAACUUAUGCAAGAAACUGUUGAAUUAGACCCGUUUCCUAUAGAUGAGAAACCAUACAAGCUGUGGUAGCUUUGGGAAUCUUUCUUCUAGAUCAGCAGAAUAGAUGCGUCAUUCCCCCAGUCUAUUCUAAACUAAGCUAAAAGCCUGACGAUUCAUCAGUAUUUAUGAGCCUCCAUUUCUUAUACUACUGCAGUGAACCAACAUUGGAUGUGAAAAUUGCCUUUUGUCAGGUGUGUGUUCCUUACAGGUAAAACAAGAGAUUCUUUUCAUACCCCAGUGGUGCUUGGAACACCAGC